CGACCGGCGCACGGGUGAGUAACACGUAUCCAACCUGCCGAUAACUCGGGGAUAGCCUUUCGAAAGAAAGAUUAAUAUCCGAUAGCAUAUCAAUCCCGCAUGAGAUUGAUAUUAAAGAAUUUCGGUUAUCGAUGGGGAUGCGUUCCAUUAGUUUGUUGGCGGGGUAACGGCCCACCAAGGCGACGAUCGGUAGCCGGACUGAGAGGUUGAACGGCCACAUUGGGACUGAGACACGGUCCAA
rnacentral:rRNA from 1 species